rnacentral:rRNA from 1 species
AGCGGCGCACGGGUGCGGAACACGUGUGCAACCUGCCUUUAUCUGGGGGAUAGCCUUUCGAAAGGAAGAUUAAUACCCCAUAAUAUAUUGACUGGCAUCAGUUGAUAUUGAAAACUCCGGUGGAUAGAGAUGGGCACGCGCAAGAUUAGAUAGUUGGUGAGGUAACGGCUCACCAAGUCUGCGAUCUUUAGGGGGCCUGAGAGGGUGAUCCCCCACACUGGUACUGAGACACGGACCAGACUCCUACGGGAGGCAGCAGUGAGGAAUAUUGGACAAUGGGUGAGAGCCUGAUCCAGCCAUCCCGCGUGAAGGACGACGGCCCUAUGGGUUGUAAACUUCUUUUGUAUAGGGAUAAACCUAGAUACGUGUAUCUAGCUGAAGGUACUAUACGAAUAAGCACCGGCUAACUCCGUGCCAGCAGCCGCGGUAAUACGGAGGGUGCAAGCGUUAUCCGGAUUUAUUGGGUUUAAAGGGUCCGUAGGCGGAUCUGUAAGUCAGUGGUGAAAUCUCACAGCUUAACUGUGAAACUGCCAUUGAUACUGCAGGUCUUGAGUGUUGUUGAAGUAGCUGGAAUAAGUAGUGUAGCGGUGAAAUGCAUAGAUAUUACUUAGAACACCAAUUGCGAAGGCAGGUUACUAAGCAACAACUGACGCUGAUGGACGAAAGCGUGGGGAGCGAACAGGAUUAGAUACCCUGGUAGUCCACGCCGUAAACGAUGCUAACUCGUUUUUGGA